UACAGAGGUCUCAAGCGUUGUUCGGAUUCAUUGGGCGUAAAGGGUGCGUAGGCGGCGCGGUAAGUCGGGCGUGAAAUCUCGGAGCUUAACUCCGAAACUGCAUUCGAUACUGCCGUGCUUGAGGACUGGAGAGGAGACUGGAAUUUACGGUGUAGCGGUGAAAUGCGUAGAUAUCGUAAGGAAGACCAGUGGCGAAGGCGGGUCUCUGGACAGUUCCUGACGCUGAGGCACGAGGGCCAGGGGAGCAAACGGG
rnacentral:rRNA from 1 species